rnacentral:rRNA from 1 species
CAAACCAAAGCUGGCGACCGGCGCACGGGUGAGUAACACGUAUCCAACCUGCCUCAUACUCGGGGAUAGCCUUUCGAAAGAAAGAUUAAUAUCCGAUAGCAUAUAUUUCCCGCAUGGGUUUUAUAUUAAAGAAAUUCGGUAUGAGAUGGGGAUGCGUUCCAUUAGUUUGUUGGGGGGGUAACGGCCCACCAAGACUACGAUGGAUAGGGGUUCCGAGAGGAAGGUCCCCCACAUUGGAACUGAGACACGGUCCAA